rnacentral:tRNA from 2 species
GGGAGUGUAGCUCAGUGGUAGAGUGCAUGUUUUGCAUGUAUGAGGCCCUGGGUUUGAACCCCAGCACUUCCA